rnacentral:tRNA from 1 species
UAAAUUUUAGUUUAAUAAAAAUUUUUUAUUUACAGUAAAAAGAUAAUUGUUUAAUUAAAUUUAA